CGGGACGGGUGAGUAACGCGUGGGUAACCUGCCUUGUACUGGGGGACGAACAUUAGAAAUGACUGCUAAUACCGCAUAAGCGCACAGUAUCGCAUGAUACAGUGUGAAAAACUCCGGUGGUACAAGAUGGACCCGCGUCUGAUUAGCUAGUUGGUAAGGUAAGGGCUUACCAAGGCGACGAUCAGUAGCCGACCUGAGAGGGUGACCGGCCACAUUGGGACUGAGACACGGCCCAA
rnacentral:rRNA from 1 species